rnacentral:rRNA from 1 species
ACAUUGAGCUGUGAUGGGGAGCGAAGUUUAGUAGCGAAGUUAGUGACGUCACACUGCCAAGAAAAGCUUCUAGCGUUUAAACAUACUCUACCCGUACCGCAAACCGACACAGGUAGUCGAGGCGAGUAGCCUCAGGUGAGCGAGAGAACUCUCGUUAAGGAACUCGGCAAAAUGACCCCGUAACUUCGGGAGAAGGGGUGCUGACUUUAAGUCAGCCGCAGUGAAUAGGCCCAAGCAACUGUUUAUCAAAAACACAGCUCUCUGCUAAAUCGUAAGAUGAUGUAUAGGGGGUGACGCCUGCCCGGUGCUGGAAGGUUAAGAGGAGUGCUUAGCGUAAGCGAAGGUAUGAAUUGAAGCCCCAGUAAACGGCGGCCGUAACUAUAACGGUCCUAAGGUAGCGAAAUUCCUUGUCGGGUAAGUUCCGACCCGCACGAAAGGCGUAAUGAUUUGGGCACUGUCUCAACGAGAGACUCGGUGAAAUUUUAGUACCUGUGAAGAUGCAGGUUACCCGCGACAGGACGGAAAGACCCCAUGGAGCUUUACUGCAGUUUGAUAUUGAGUGUCUGUACCACAUGUACAGGAUAGGUAGGAGUCUAAUAGAUCGGGACGCCAGUUUCGAAGGAGACGUUGUUGGGAUACUACCCUUGUG